rnacentral:rRNA from 1 species
AUUGAACGCUGGCGGCAUGCCUUACACAUGCAAGUCGAACGGCAGCACGGGAGCAAUCCUGGUGGCGGGUGGCGAACGGGUGAGUAAUAUAUCGGAACGUGCCCAGUCGUGGGGGAUAACGCAGCGAAAGCUGUGCUAAUACCGCAUACGAUCUCUGGAUGAAAGCGGGGGACUCGCAAGGGCCUCGCGCGAUUGGAGCGGCCGAUAUCAGAUUAGGUAGUUGGUGGGGUAAAAGCUCACCAAGCCGACGAUCUGUAGCUGGUCUGAGAGGACGACCAGCCACACUGGAACUGAGACACGGUCCAGACUCCUACGGGAGGCAGCAGUGGGGAAUUUUGGACAAUGGGCGCAAGCCUGAUCCAGCAAUGCCGCGUGCAGGACGAAGGCCUUCGGGUUGUAAACUGCUUUUGUACGGAACGAAAAGGUAGCUCCUAAUACGAGCUGCUGAUGACGGUACCGUAAGAAUAAGCACCGGCUAACUCCGUG